AUUCCUUACAUUUGCCGACCUAUAAAACCACAUGUAUUCACAAUUCUUUGCUAUACGCAAUCCAAAAGUGAGUUCCCUUUCUCGACUUUUUUCUCUUUUACAAAAGCAAUAUCAUAGCACCAACCAGCUGAACAGCGGUGUAUGUGGUUGGACUUAUUUUUUUAAUGUGGUGUAAUCGUAGGUAAAAGUUGCAAUAGAGACGUAAAAUACGUUUUUCAUUUAAAUCGAUCACUGAAAGUGUUGUGUUUCAUUCAUUCAAGUGAAAGUCACGCAAAAUAGAUGGCAAUAAUGUCUGAGGUUGGAUCGAACGAUGUACCAACUGGAAAUGGUGAGGCGCCAGUUAAAUCGGCUAAACAAUUUUAAAAGGAGGCCAAGAAUGCAGCCAAAUUAGCCAAACUUGCUGAAAAAGAAGAAAAGAAAGCCGCUGAUACUGAGAAAAAAGCCACCAAACUAGCUAAAGAGGUAAAUAUUUUGAAUGAAUGUAUUUCGUGAAUUUUACAAAUAACAAUUCGUGACCAAGUUUGUUUUUUAUAAUUAGAGAAAGAAGGAAAAGACAAAAGACGUGAAAGAAUCGGCCGUUUUUACCGCUGGUUAAAAGGAAGACAUAUCUGGACCAUAUGCGCGUCCCAUAACCGAGGAGAAUCCAAAAGGAAAAUUUGUAAUGCUGAUACCACCGCUAAAUGUGAGCGGUUCAUUGCAUUUGGUUCAUGCAAUUACUGUAACACAUUGGCAUCGUAUGAAUGGCAAAACAACACUUUGGGUGCCGGGUCGCAACACAGGUCGCUGUCGAAAAGAAAUUGUGAACUGUCCUGUGUCGAUUGUGUAUUAUCCCUUUGUAUAUGAAUGCCAUCUGAACUGCGUUCGGCCGAAUCUGGUACCGCUUGUGUUGAUGAUGGUGAUGAGUUAUUGGGUGAUGAAUCCGACAAAUCAAUUGAUGAAACGUUAUUCGGGAAUGAAAGUGGAUUGUAAACGCCACGUCGAAAGCGAUGCACUCUGAGGUACCGGAAUGAUCGAGCUAUUGAACUUAUGAAAUUGAAAUCGGGAAUUUUUUCCGGCAACAGAGCACACAGUUGUUCCAAUGUUUCAUAACGUGAAACACUGUAAAAUUCGGGUUUUUUGCACGAUUUGUACACGGUAUCACAAUAGGCUGAUGAAACUUACAUUUCAUGCGAAUGAUUUGCCUCUUUGCUCGUACAAAUUGCGGUCAAAUUACGGGAUUCAAUUCGAACCAAACGUAUCAUUUCAUUAUCCAAAACAAUUGAAUUGGUUUUUGAGUCCAAACGACCAACUGUUGUUCCACAAUUUAAACACCUCACUUUUGAAUCGUCAAUCGUUAUAUUGUAAAAUUCUGACGGCGGACUUACUGCACCUGGAAAAGUCAGUUUUUAUUCUUCCGCACAUCAUUUCUUUGUUCAAGAGCGUUUUAGAGCAAAUUCAAUGUGAAAAGAUUUUUUUUUUUUGGGAUGCUCACUGUAGUAAGUAUGACCGGCACAUUUUUGGUGGUGAAUUGGUUCCAGACCUUCCUCAAUUGAUUCAUGUCAAUUCAUAAUUCAGUCCAUAAAAAAAUAUAAUUUAAACCAAGUGUAUUUUGAGUACCCUUUCAACAUUUUGAUAACCAUUCAUAUUUUUUUCAUUAAUAACA